rnacentral:rRNA from 1 species
AGCGAACGCUGGCGGCAGGCUUAACACAUGCAAGUCGAGCGGGCAUAGCAAUAUGUCAGCGGCAGACGGGUGAGUAACGCGUGGGAACGUACCUUUUGGUUCGGAACAACUGAGGGAAACUUCAGCUAAUACCGGAUAAGCCCCUACGGGGAAAGAUUUAUCGCCGAAAGAUCGGCCCGCGUCUGAUUAGCUAGUUGGUGAGGUAAUGGCUCACCAAGGCGACGAUCAGUAGCUGGUCUGAGAGGAUGAUCAGCCACAUUGGGACUGAGACACGGCCCAAACUCCUACGGGAGGCAGCAGUGGGGAAUAUUGGACAAUGGGCGCAAGCCUGAUCCAGCCAUGCCGCGUGAGUGAUGAAGGCCCUAGGGUUGUAAAGCUCUUUUGUGCGGGAAGAUAAUGACGGUACCGCAAGAGUAAGCCCCGGCUAACUUCGUGCCAGCCGCCGCGGUAA